rnacentral:lncRNA from 1 species
GUCACUUCAAAUUGAUUGUGUCCUCCCACCCACCAACACUCUCAUCCUAUCGCUCCUCCCCACCCCACACUCCACAUUUCUACUUCACCUCCAUCUCCCGUAAUAUUUAUCUAAAUUACAUACAACAUUUAAAAUAUUUUUUUUUUACCUAGGUACCUAACACACAAAGAAAAAGUAUUGUCAAAAGAACAUUUUUCAAUAUAACAUUUUCCUUGGUACUGAAUCACACACACUUAGG